ACUCCUACGGGAGGCAGCAGUAGGAAUAUUGGUCAAUGGGUGAGAGCCUGAACCAGCCAUGCCGCGUGCAGGAAGACGGCCUUCUGGGUUGUAAACUGCUUUUACCAGGGAUAAAAAGAUCUUGCGAGAUUAAUUGAAGGUACCUGAGAAUAAGCACCGGCUAACUACGUGCCAGCAGCCGCGGUAAUACGUAGGGUGCAAGCGUUGUCCGGAUUUAUUGGGUUUAAAGGUGCGUAGGCGGGCUAUUAAGUCAGUGGUGAAAUCCAGCAGCUUAACUGUUGAUGUGCCAUUGAUACUGGUAGUCUUGAGUACAGAUGAGGUAGGCGGAAUUGACAGUGUAGCGGUGAAAUGCAUAGAUAUUGUCAAGAACUCCGAUAGCGAAGGCAGCUUACUGGGCUGUAACUGACGCUGAUGCACGAAAGUGUGGGGAUCAAACAGGAUUAGAUACCCUGGUAGGCUCUG
rnacentral:rRNA from 1 species